AGAGUUUGAUCAUGGCUCAGAGCGAACGCUGGCGGCAGGCCUAAAACAUGCAAGUCGAACGCCGUAGCAAUACGGAGUGGCAGACGGGUGAGUAACACGUGGGAACGUGCCUUUUGGUUCGGAACAACUGAGGGAAACUUCAGCUAAUACCGGAUAAGCCCUUACGGGGAAAGAUUUAUCGCCAGAAGAUCGGCCCGCGUCUGAUUAGCUAGUUGGUGAGGUAACGGCUCACCAAGGCUACGAUCAGUAGCUGGUCUGAGAGGAUGAUCAGCCACACUGGGACUGAGACACGGCCCAGACUCCUACGGGAGGCAGCAGUUGGGAAUCUUGGACAAUGGGGGAAACCCUGAUCCAGCCAUGCCGCGUGAGUGAUGAAGGCCUUCGGGUUGUAAAACUCUUUCGACGGGGACGAUAAUGACGGUACCCGUAGAAGAAGCUCCGGCUAACUUCGUGCCAGCAGCCGCGGUAAUACGAAGGGGGCUAGCGUUGUUCGGAAUUACUGGGCGUAAAGCGCGCGCAGGCGGUCUUCCAAGUCAGUGGUGAAAGCCCGGAGCUCAACUCCGGAACUGCCAUUGAAACUGUAGGACUUGAGGAUGAGAGAGGUGAGUGGAAUUCCCAGUGUAGAGGUGAAAUUCGUAGAUAUUGGGAAGAACACCGGUGGCGAAGGCGGCUCACUGGCUCAUAUCUGACGCUCAGGCGCGACAGCGUGGGGAUCAAACAGGAUUAGAUACCCCAGUAGUCC
rnacentral:rRNA from 1 species